rnacentral:rRNA from 1 species
AACGAACGCUGGCGGCGCGUCUUAAGCAUGCAAGUCGAACGGCAAGAUUUGUGCUUGCACAAAUCCUAGAGUGGCGGACUGGUGAGUAACACGUGGGUGACAUACCCUUCAGUUGGGGAUAGCUACUAGAAAUAGUAGAUAAUACCGAAUACGACCAUAGUUGUUAGAGGACUAUGAGGAAAGGACCGAAUGGUUUGCUGAAGGAUUGGGCCCCGCGGCCCAUUAGCUAGUUGGUGUGGUAAAGGCAUACCAAGGCGAUGAUGGGUAUCCGGCCUGAGAGGGUGAUCGGACACAUUGGGACUGAGAUACGGCCCAGACUCCUACGGGAGGCAGCAGUGGGGAAUAUUGGGCAAUGGGGGAAACCCUGACCCAGCAACGCCGCGUGAAGGAAG